rnacentral:rRNA from 1 species
AGCAGCCGCGGUAAUUCCAGCUCCAAUAGCGUAUAUUAAAGUUGUUGCAGUUAAAAAGCUCGUAGUUGAAUUUCGAGAUCGGCUUACUGGUCGUGCUUUUGUACGUACUGGUAAAUCGGUUUCUCCUUUCUGACGAACUUUUAAUGCCAUUAAUUUGGUGUUUUAGAGAAUCAGGACUGUUACUUUGAAAAAAUUGAGUGUUUAAAGCAGGCUCACGCUUGAAUACAUUAGCAUGGAAUAAUGAAAUAGGACGUUUGAUUCUAUUUUGUUGGUUUCUAGGUAUCGACGUAAUGAUUAAUAGGGAUAGUUGGGGGCAUUAGUAUUCAAUUGUCAGAGGUGAAAUUCUUGGAUUUAUUGAAGACUAACUACUGCGAAAGCAUUUGCCAAGGAUGUUUUCAUUAAUCAAGUAACGAAAGUUAGGGGAUCGAAGACGAUCAGAUA